UACGUAGGGUGCAAGCGUUGUCCGGAAUUAUUGGGCGUAAAGAGCUCGUAGGCGGCUUGUCGCGUCUGCUGUGAAAUCCCGAGGCUCAACCUCGGGCUUGCAGUGGGUACGGGCAGGCUAGAGUGCGGUAGGGGAGAUUGGAAUUCCUGGUGUAGCGGUGGAAUGCGCAGAUAUCAGGAGGAACACCGAUGGCGAAGGCAGAUCUCUGGGCCGCUACUGACGCUGAGGAGCGAAAGCAUGGGGAGGCGAACA
rnacentral:rRNA from 1 species